UACAGAGGUGGCAAGCGUUGUUCGGAAUUACUGGGCGUAAAGGGCGCGUAGGCGGUUCGAUAAGUCCCGUGUGAAAGCCCCCGGCUCAACUGGGGAACUGCACGGGAAACUGACGGACUUGAGUUCGGGAGAGGGAAGCGGAAUUCCGGGUGUAGCGGUGAAAUGCGUAGAUAUCCGGAGGAACACCGGUGGCGAAGGCGGCUUCCUGGACCGACACUGACGCUGAGGCGCGAAAGCUAGGGGAGCGAACAGG
rnacentral:rRNA from 1 species